rnacentral:rRNA from 1 species
UUGGAGGGCAAGUCUGGUGCCAGCAGCCGCGGUAAUUCCAGCUCCAAUAGCGUAUAUUAAAGUUGUUGCAGUUAAAAAGCUCGUAGUUGAAUUUCGGGAUCAAUUUAUUGGUCGUGCCAACGGUACGCACUGGUACAAUUGGUUUCUCCCUUCUGACGAAGCAUGAUGUCAUUAAUUUGAUGUCGUGGGGAAUCAGGACUGUUACUUUGAAAAAAUUAGAGUGUUUAAAGCAGGCUUUGGCUUGAAUACAUUAGCAUGGAAUAAUGAAAUAGGACGUUUGAUCUUAUUUCGUUGGUUUCUAAGAUCGACGUAAUGAUUAAUAGGGAUAGUUGGGGGCAUUAGUAUUCAAUUGUCAGAGGUGAAAUUCUUGGAUUUAUUGAAGACUAACUACUGCGAAAGCAUUUGCCAAGGAUGUUUUCAUUAACCAAGAACGAAAGUUAGGGGAUCGAAGACGAUCAGACACCGUCGUAGUCUUAACCAUAAACUAUGCCGACUAGGGAUCGGACGAUGUUAAUUUUUCUUGACUCGUUCGGCGCCUUACGGGAAAC